CGCGAUUCGCCCUUCGGGGUGCCCAGGCGCGAAAACUUUGCAAUACACGAAAGUGUGACAGGGUCAUCCCGAGUGCCGACCGCUGAGGUUGGCUUUUACCCAGUCUAGAAAGCUGGGGGAAUAAGGAGAGGGCAAGUCUGGUGUCAGCCGCCGCGGUAAUACCAGCUCUCCGAGUGGUGUGGACGUUUAUUGGGCCUAAAGCAUCCGUAGCUGGCUGAACAAGUCCCCUGUUAAACCCACCGAUUUAAUCGUUGGUCUGCGGGGGAUACUGCUCGGCUAGGGGACGAGAGAGGCAGACGGUAUUCCCGGGGUAGGGGUGAAAUCCUAUAAUCCCGAGAAGACCACCAGUGGCGAAGGCUGUCUGCUAGAACGCGCCCGACGGUGAGGGAUGAAAGCUGGGGGAGCGAACCGGAUUAGAUACCCGGGUAGUCCCAGCUGUAAACGAUGCGGACUAGGUGUUUGGACGGCCACGUGCCGUUCUAGUGCCGCAGGGAAGCUGUUAAGUCUGCCGCCUGGGGAGUACGAUCGCAAGAUUGAAACUUAAAGGAAUUGGCGGGGGAGCAC
rnacentral:rRNA from 1 species